rnacentral:rRNA from 1 species
UACGGAGGGUGCGAGCGUUUAUCCGGAAUCACUGGGUUUAAAGGGUGCGUAGGCGGUCUGAUAAGUCAGUUGUGAAAUUCCUCGGCUUAACCGAGUGGACUGCGAUUGAUACUGUCAGACUUGAAUCAGGUUGAGGUAGGCGGAAUGUGACAUGUAGCGGUGAAAUGCUUAGAUAUGUCAUAGAACACCGAUUGCGAAGGCAGCUUGCUGGGCUUAGAUUGACGCUGAGGCACGAAAGCGUGGGGAGCAAACAGG